GGCGGCGUAGCUCAGUCGGUAGAGCGGGGGUCUCAUAAGCCCUAUGUCGGUGGUUCGAGUCCACCCGCCGCCACCA
rnacentral:tRNA from 2 species